AGAGAAUAGUUUUGAGGCUCAAAUAUUACCAGCAGUUGAAGAUGUACCCUCGAAAACAAAGUACAUUUUAAAAAUAACUGCUGUUGACUUAGAUCCUAAACCUCUAUCUUGUAUCAAGACACAUAUGCAAAGGAAUGAAUUGGUACAAGACGCCUGCAGAGGGACUUCAUCUUGAUGGAAAUGAAGUUUUGUGCUAUGAUACUUUACGCUAUAUCUGAUCGAAGGUCAUACUUUUUAGACCUCAAAGAGGCCUAACUAUGACUUAAAAUAAUCUGCUGUUAAAAGUUUUACCAAGUUGCUUCAUUGUCACUUAACUGUGUGGGCUGUACAUAUGAGGCAGAGGCUUUCAAUUGGUGAGAGACAGCAAGUUCUGGUGUACCUAAUUCAUUUUUUUACGAAAGAAACAAUUGCGAAAUUAUUGCUAAUAAAGUGGAAAAGAUAGUCAAAA